AUUGAACGCUGGCGGCAUGCCUUACACAUGCAAGUCGAACGGUAACGCGGGGCAACCUGGCGACGAGUGGCGAACGGGUGAGUAAUGUAUCGGAACGUGCCCAGUUGUGGGGGAUAACUGCUCGAAAGAGCAGCUAAUACCGCAUACGACCUGAGGGUGAAAGCGGGGGAUCGCAAGACCUCGCGCAAUUGGAGCGGCCGAUAUCAGAUUAGGUAGUUGGUGAGGUAAAGGCUCACCAAGCCGACGAUCUGUAGCUGGUCUGAGAGGACGACCAGCCACACUGGGACUGAGACACGGCCCAGACUCCGACGGGAGGCAGCAGUGGGGAAUUUUGGGCAAUGGACGCAAGUCUGAUCCAGCCAUGCCGCGUGCGGGAAGAAGGCCUUCGGGUUGUAAACCGCUUUUGUCAGGGAAGAAACGCUCUGGGUUAAUACCUCGGGGUAAUGACGGUACCUGAAGAAUAAGCACCGGCUAACUACGUGCCAGCAGCCGCCGCGGUAA
rnacentral:rRNA from 1 species